rnacentral:rRNA from 1 species
GACUGGUGAGUAACGCGUGAGCAACCUGCCUUCCGUGGGGGACAACAGUUGGAAACGACUGCUAAUACCGCAUAACAUAUACUUAAGGCAUCUUAGGUAUAUCAAAGCUUUAUGUGCCGGAAGAUGGGCUCGCGUCUGAUUUAGAUGGUUGGUGAGGUAACGGCUCACCAAGUCGACGAUCAGUAGCCGGACUGAGAGGUUGAACGGCCACAUUUGGGACUGAGAUACGGCCCAGACUCCUACGGGAGGCAGCAGUGGGGAAUAUUGGGCAAUGGGGGAAACCCUGACCCAGCAACGCCGCGUGAAGGAAGAAGGCUUUUCGGGUUGUAAACUUCUUUUAUGAGGGACGAUAAUGACGGUACCUCAUGAAUAAGCCACGGCUAACUACGUGCC